GGGGGUGCUUGCACCCCGCUGACGAGCGGCGGACGGGUGAGUAAUGCAUAGGAAAUUGCCCAGUAGUGGGGGAUAGCCCGGGGAAACCCGGAUUAAUACCGCAUACGUCCUUCGGGAGAAAGCAGGGGAUCUUCGGACCUUGCGCUAUUGGAUGUGCCUAUGUCGGAUUAGCUAGUUGGUGGGGGAAAGGCCUACCAAGGCGACGAUCCGUAGCUGGUCUGAGAGGAUGAUCAGCCACAUCGGGACUGAGACACGGCCCGAACUCCUACGGGAGGCAGCGGUGGGGAAUAUUGGACAAUGGGGGCAACCCUGAUCCAGCCAUGCCGCGUGUGUGAAGAAGGCUUUCGGGUUGUAAAGCACUUUCAGUGAGGAGGAAAACCUUAUGGUUAAUACCCAUGAGGCUUGACGUUACUCACAGAAGAAGCACCGGCUAACUCCGUGCCAGCAGCCGCGGUAAUACGGAGGGUGCAAGCGUUAAUCGGAAUUACUGGGCGUAAAGCGCGCGUAGGUGGUUUGAUAAGCGAGAUGUGAAAGCCCCGG
rnacentral:rRNA from 1 species